GACGAACCGUGCGAACGUUAUUCGGAAUCACUGGGCUUAAAGCGCGUGUAGGCGGGCCGGCACGUCGAUGGCUGAAAUCCCCCGGCUCAACCGGGGAGGUGGCCUCGAUACGACCGGCCUGGAGGGGGGUAGGGGGCGCCGGAACUUCCGGUGGAGCGGUGAAAUGCGUUGAGAUCGGAAGGAACGCCCGUGGCGAAAGCGGGCGCCUGGACCCCACCUGACGCUGAGGCACGAAAGCGUGGGGAGCAAACAGG
rnacentral:rRNA from 1 species